CUCUAACUUGUAAUGACCCCAAAGGCCACAACAGCUUCCAGAUCUCACUAGAAAUCAGUUACACAGGCAGCCGGCCAGCCUCCAACAUGGUGAUUGCUGAUGUGAAGAUGCUAUCUGGUUUCAUCCCAUUGAAACCAACAGUGAAAAAGCUUGAAAGAUUAGAGCACGUGAACAGAACAGAAGU